AACAAUAACAACAACAACAAAAGGAGGCAACAACUACUUCAUAAAAAGAAGAAAGUAUUAAAAAGAAGAAGUUUAAAAUACGAUUACACGCGUACGAUUAGUUGUCAACAAGAAAAUUAAGAAGAAAUUAGUAAAGAAGAAAGAAGAAGAGGAAGAGUGAAGUCAAACCAAAAUAACGUAUCAAUGUACACAAGUUUAGGCCCAAAAUUGUUAAAAAAAGAAUAUUUAUUAAAGGGAUAAACCACAUUUAAAAAGUAAGGAUAAGAGGAAAUUAGCGACGAACUGAGAGCGGUAACACUUCUUUUUAACGGACGAGAAAGAAAAGCAAGUUAUAGGGGGUGAUUCUUUGGAAAAGAAACGUCGUCUCCGAGGGAGAAAAACUCGAACAACAAGCGCGCGCGCGCCACUUAUACGAAACACUUUUUUCUUUGACCAUUUAUCGGAAGCGAGCAAGAAUUGCUUCUGCCGCAUCUCUUCUAAUACGCCUAACCAAUUCUCAUUAUCCUUGGCGUACUGAAAGACGACGAUAGGAGAAUCCCGAUGAAGGAGGAUAGAAAGAGAGGAGAUCUCGACACGUUGUGCACCGAUCUGUGAUUUUCAUAUAUUCGUAACACCCUCGACACCAGCUCGUCUUCUUCGGUUCGACGCGAAAGACAGAUUGACGAAUGACGCCGUAACCGUGGGCUGGUUGGUGCUCGGAUAUCAAAACACGGAAGAGGACAUCUUUCGCACCGCCACGACAACGUUCAUCGUGCUCCGAAGCGCGACAAAUAGAGACAGGAAGCGCGUGUCCACUGGACCAGGUAUCCUUAGCGAAGGCUUCCACUUUCACGCAGAGGAAAUGAGCUCUCGCUUCUUCCGUUCCUAUACCUACCUAGGGAAAAAUGGUUACAAGGGUGCGUCGCACGACGACGACGCAAACGCACACGCGUGCGCGCACGUGCUACGCGCACUUAUAUACAUACAUGAAAUGCAUGCAUGCUAACUACACACAAGCAUUCUCGUUCUUCCUCUCACCCUUUCUCUCUCACUCUCUUUCUCUCUCUUUCUCGUCGUAGACGCGAAUAAAAAGCGAACGAAAAUAGCCGAUUCGCCCUGAUACGGCUCGAAUUUUUCACUCGACCGGCCAUAUAAAAUUACUUCGCUGCAUUAAACGAACAGACUGACUUUAAAAUAACGCGAGCCUUGUAUAUCGUGUUUCGCGACAGAACGAAGAAAAAGAGAUAAAGAAUGAGAUAGAAAGAGAGAGAGAGAGAGAGAUGUGAAGGGGUGGUGGCAAAAUAGGUUGUUGCUAGAAAGCGUAGCGUGUGUAUUCAGAAAUAAAAAGAAUCAAAUAAUAUUUUAUGUGUUUCUGUUCAA